rnacentral:rRNA from 1 species
AUUGAACGCUGGCGGCAGGCCUAACACAUGCAAGUCGAACGGUAACAGGAAGCAGCUUGCUGCUUCGCUGACGAGUGGCGGACGGGUGAGUAAUGUCUGGGAAACUGCCUGAUGGAGGGGGAUAACUACUGGAAACGGUAGCUAAUACCGCAUAACGUCGCAAGACCAAAGAGGGGGACCUUCGGGCCUCUUGCCAUCGGAUGUGCCCAGAUGGGAUUAGCUAGUAGGUGGGGUAACGGCUCACCUAGGCGACGAUCCCUAGCUGGUCUGAGAGGAUGACCAGCCACACUGGAACUGAGACACGGUCCAGACUCCUACGGGAGGCAGCAGUGGGGAAUAUUGCACAAUGGGCGCAAGCCUGAUGCAGCCAUGCCGCGUGUAUGAAGAAGGCCUUCGGGUUGUAAAGUACUUUCAGCGGGGAGGAAGGGAGUAAAGUUAAUACCUUUGCUCAUUGACGUUACCCGCAGAAGAAGCACCGGCUAACUCCGUGCCAGCAGCCGCGGUAAUACGGAGGGUGCAAGCGUUAAUCGGAAUUACUGGGCGUAAAGCGCACGCAGGCGGUUUGUUAAGUCAGAUGUGAAAUCCCCGGGCUCAACCUGGGAACUGCAUCUGAUACUGGCAAGCUUGAGUCUCGUAGAGGGGGGUAGAAUUCCAGGUGUAGCGGUGAAAUGCGUAGAGAUCUGGAGGACUACCGGUGGCGAAGGCGGCCCCCUGGACGAAGACUGACGCUCAGGUGCGAAAGCGUGGGGAGCAAACAGG